GUGGGGAAUAUUCCGCAAUGGACGAAAGUCUGACGGAGCAACGCCGCGUGAGUGAUGAAGGUUUUCGGACUGUAAAGCUCUGUUGUUUAGGACGAAAGUGCCUGUUGCAAACAGUUACAGGUAUUGACGGUACUAAACGAGGAAGCCACGGCUAACUACGUGCCAGCAGCCGCGGUAAUACGUAGGUGGCAAGCGUUGUCCGGAAUUAUUGGGCGUAAAGAGCAUGUAGGCGGGAAUCUAAGUCUGUUGUGAAAAUGCGGGGCUCAACCCCGUAUUGCGAUGGAAACUGGGUUUCGUGAGUGCAGGAGAGGAAAGGGGAAUUCCCAGUGUAGCGGUGAAAUGCGUAGAUAUUGGGAGGAACACCAGUGGCGAAGGCGCCUUUCUGGACUGUGUCUGACGCUGAGAUGCGAAAGCCAGGGUAGCGAACGGGAUUAGAAACCCGUGUAGUCC
rnacentral:rRNA from 1 species